GACGAACGCUGGCGGCGUGCUUAACACAUGCAAGUCGAGCGGUAAGGCCCUUUCGGGGGUACACGAGCGGCGAACGGGUGAGUAACACGUGGGUGACCUGCCCUCAGCUCUGGGAUAAGCCCGGGAAACUGGGUCUAAUACCGGAUAUGACUCCAUGACGCAUGUUGUGGGGUGGAAAGCCUUGUGCGGCUGAGGAUGGGCCCGCGGCCUAUCAGCUUGUUGGUGGGGUGAUGGCCUACCAAGGCGACGACGGGUAGCCGGCCUGAGAGGGCGACCGGCCACACUGGGACUGA
rnacentral:rRNA from 1 species